GGAUUUUUGCUUUUACGAUAAAAGGAGAAAAUAGCGAGCCAUUACAGCCUGAGCAGCAAGAGGGGCCCUAACCGAGCGCCUUCCCUAGAAACCAGCUCGGCAUCCAGCCGCCAGAGCUGGGUCCUGGGAAAAAUAGUCUUCCAUUUGGAUUCUCCAGGAGGCAGACACUGAAGAGAAACUAGGAAAAUGAAAGGUUUAUUGGGGAAUAGUGUCGAUGAAAGGAAAGAGCAGGAGGCAGAAAUAGGAACGUUUGAUGCUAUAUAAAGUAUUAAAAGGACACAUUGAUAUUGGAAACACAUGCAAAUGUCCAACAUCUAUUAUUUCACAAGUAACAGUAUGUUUGGACCAGCAGAUGACCAAGCCCAUGUUCUUCUGAAGGAAAUGGCAGAGAUAUAAGAGAACAAAUCCCACCACACAAACAUACUUUAG